rnacentral:rRNA from 1 species
UACAGAGGGGGCAAGCGUUGUUCGGAAUUACUGGGCGUAAAGGGCGCGUAGGCGGCCUUCUAAGUCGAACGUGAAAUCCCCGGGCUCAACCCGGGAACUGCGUCUGAUACUGGAAAGCUUGAGUGCAGGAGAGGAACGCGGAAUUCCAGGUGUAGCGGUGAAAUGCGUAGAUAUCUGGAGGAACACCGGUGGCGAAGGCGGCGUUCUGGACUGCAACUGACACUGAGGAACGAAAGCCAGGGGAGCAAACGGG